CGGCCUCCUCACGACUAGUAC
rnacentral:snRNA from 1 species